rnacentral:lncRNA from 1 species
ACCUAGCUUGGGAUCUCUCAUAAGGAUCUUUUGGGAGUAAUGGGUGUUCAGGCCAUGUUUCUUCAAUGUACUCGAGGAUAAUAGUUGAUUCAACUAUAGGUUUUCCUGCAUGAACAAGGACAGGGAUUUUCUUGUAGACUGGGUUAUAUUCUAAGAGCAAAGGGCUCUUGUUGGAAAGGUUUUCUUCUAUGUAAUCAUAGCUUAUACCCUUUAGUUUCAAUGCCCAUAUAACCCUGUAGCUGAAAAGACUACCCCAAGUUCCCAAGAGUUUCACUUCUGCCAUGUUGAGAUUCCAAGACAAGUUUGUGCUUUGGUAUAUAUCCUAGAGUCAUUCACUUAUAUAUACAGCAAAGUUUAAGUCAUCCUGAAGUUUCUUUCUUGGCCCUCAAGUUCAAAGAGUUUCAAUUUUCUCAUCAAAGAUGACAGAAGAGAUGAAGUCACAGAUCUAAAGUUCACUGCAAGUAGUCUUUACUCUUUAUUUCAACAUUUUUUCUUAUCUAGUCCAGCCACCUUGUUUGACCAUUAAAAUAUAUACUGUAGCAAAGUGCUGAUAAAUAUCUAUCUACUUUUUCUUCUACAUAUUCUAUCUAUAUAUCUAAUCUCUGCCUCUCUGGAGCCUGCCCCAAUAUGCUUGCCAUUCUCAGAGGAGUAGGAAAAAAUUAAUUACAGUAAAUAAAAAAAACAACAAUGAAUUCUGUAGGAUUUCUAUAUGUACUUCUUUGUACAUAUAUCAGAUUUCAGUUUCAAUUUACAAUCAACAUUUUACAUUUUACAAUUUACAAAGCAGGGUUCACUAGAAAGGAAUGAUUUAACUAAGAUGCACAAAGAGCCAUAGACAGUUUACUUCCACAGCACCAAUACAUGAUUACAUGACCAAAGAGCAAUUUUUCUGUGAAUACCAAUCUCUAUAAACAUAGAGUUGCAUAUGAUGCACUAUGGCAGGUUAAUGUUGAAGGAUAGAGAGGAGAGAUAUGAUAUAGAAUGGAUGCAUUUCGUCUAUGGCGCAGGUUCAUUCAUAUAUCCAUCAUAAAGAAUUGGUAAUAGGCACUGUAGAUUCAGAAAAAAAAAAAAAAGGUAGCAGUGCAUACUGAAGUUAGAGACAAAUGGAAACAGGCAGUUUAACAGAGAAGGCCUCAAAGUGUGGUUAUGUUGAUAGUUCAUGUAAAUGUUGUUUAUUUUCUAUUUUGGUUGUAAGACACUAUAAGGGUCUGUCCUCUCUGGAAACUAAUUACCUGACAAUGCACUUAAAGUGCAUCCCACCAUCACCAGGCUGCUUGUAUUUAUUUUGUCCGAAAUAUUUCAACUUUGAAAAAAAAUCAUCCCAAUCCUUUGUACAAUGCACUUAUACGUAGCUAUAUAACAAAACCAUAUAAUGCAUUAAUGGUCUAAGCACAAAUAUGAAAAUUGUAAAUGGAAAACUGUUCUCUCUAAUUUUCACACAAAUGAACGCGUUUCCGAAUUUUCAGGCCCUAGCUUGGUUUUGCUGAUUAGGGGAAAACAAGUUUUUUUCAUUUUUUGAUGAAAGUAUAAGUUUUAUAAAUAAUCACAGGCCAUUACAACCUGAUCAGUAUGCUUUAAAAUAGCAUCGUCAGGUGGAGAAGUAAAGACUGAAAGUGCUUACAAAACAUUACAGACACAGGCCUAGGACCUAACUGUGAGUCCUCCAUAAGAUCCUCCCCUGCCAGAAUAGGAUCAGGCGAUCAGCCAUAUCAAGCAGAGCUUGCACCCCAAUCUGCCAGUAGCAUUUCCACGCUUCCAAAUUAUCCAAGUAAAAUAGUAAAUCCAUUUUUUAUGCCAGUUUCAUCAAGAAUGAAUACCAGUAGUGCGCAUGACUAGCACGUAUGUCUGCACUCUUAAUGGUAGAUGAAAAAGGAUAGAGGUUAGACCACGGUGGCCAGUGCAGAUGAACAAAAAAUGUGGUACAACUCUAUUCGGCAAAUUUGUUGAGCAGAGUAACUAAUCCGAAAAUUUUCUUUAUUUUCAAUUCCAUACAAAAUUCAAGAACUACAAGAUAACAGUACACGGUCGAGUAUAUAUAAUGCAGCACACACAUUACAUAAAUUCAUAAACCAGACUUAUAUAUCACAAUAUCACAUACAACUAGUCUCAUUCUCAGUGAUUAAUGACCAGAAAGCCACAUUUCUCUUUGUCUCUUGAAAUAGGCCAAUGCUUGAUCAUGUUCAGGAAGAUUCUCUUUAAUCGCAGGUACUUCCCUAAAAUUUUCGAUCCAUUGGUGCAAGCGUGGGAAGGCCUGAGGUUCAAUCAAUUUCAUACCUUUAGUUUCUUCCAUUAUUCCUAACCAAUGAGCCAUCCAUCCAUACACUAAAUCCACUAAUCCAAUUGAUUCACCACCAAAGAACUUCUUGUCCCCAAGUCCAAGUUCUUCUAUAACCUUCAAAGCUUCCAGGCUAUCUUUGAUAGCUUUCUCUUGUUCCUCCUCAGUACUAAUAAAGAAUUUGAAAAACGUAAUUGCCUACAUCAUAAAUCAUGGACAAAGGAGUUAAAAACUAGAAAGUAUAACAACAUAUAUCAAAAGUUAGACACACAUAUGUACACAACUUGUGGAAUGGACUAACCUUAUCCUCAGAAAAUUUGAUCCAAAACCUAGCUUGGGACUUCUCAUAAGGAUCUUUCGGGAGUAAUGGGUUCUCAGGCCAUGUUUCUUCGAUAUACUCGAGGAUAAUAGUUGAUUCAACUAUAGGUUUUCCUGCAUGAACAAGGACAGGGAUUUUCUUGUAGACUGGGUUAUAUUCUAAGAGCAAAGGGCUCUUGUUGGAAAGGUUUUCUUCUAUGUAAUCAUAGCUUAUACCCUUUAGUUUCAAUAACCAUA